UACAUAGGGUGCGAGCGUUAUCCGGAAUCACUGGGCGUAAAGCGAUCGCAGGUGGAGGAAAAGGUCUGGUGUUAAAUACCUUGGCUCAACCAAGGUCUCGUACUGGAAACCAUUUCUCUUGAGGCAGACAGGGGCAGGUAGAAUUCCCAUUGUAGGGGUUAAAUCCGUAGAUAAUGGGAGGAAUACCAAAAGCGAAGGCAGCCUGCUGGGUCUUGCCUGACACUGCUCGAUCGAAAGCGUGGGGAGCGAAAGGG
rnacentral:rRNA from 1 species